GGAGGGCUAGCUGAGUGGGAGAGCAUCUGACUUUGCAUGCAAAAGGUCAUGGGUUCAAUCCCCAAUGGCAACUCCA